UGUUUGUUUCUAUCUGUAUAUUUAUGUACAUAUUCAUUUAUCUGUCAUGUAUAUAAAUAUAUUAUCUAUUUCUAUAUAUCCAUCAUCUAUGUAUCUAAGUAUUUAUCCUUGUAUCUAUAUUUCUGUUAUCUAUCUGUAUAUCUAUGUAUCUAUUACUUGUGUAUGCAUCUACAUAUCUUGUCACUUAAGUGUCUAUCUUUGUGUCUGUCUAGCUUGCCUUGAUGUUAGAAGCAUUAGGAUUUAGUAAGAAAUUUCAUGUGCACAUUCCCAAGCCUCAUUAAAACAAAAAACAAAAACAAACAAAAGCUCUAGAAUUCCCAGGUGGUGCAGUGGAUUAAGGAUCCGGCGUGGCUACUGCUGUGGCAUGGGCUACUGCUGUGGCACAGGUUCAGUCCCUGGCCCUGGGACUUUUGUACAGCCAAAAAACAAACAAACAAACAAACAAAAAACCCCUCCCUCUAUCAAAUUCUGACACCAGCCCUUUAAUCAACAGAUACUGAUACUUACCACUUGUUUAUUGGACACUUGUAUGUAUAGGUUGUAUUUUGGACACAAAAAUUCGGAAGAGCUUUCCUGAUCUUCAGUUCAGAUCUAAGUUGUGAGGCGUUUGUAAAAGACACCAUGCAACAACUACUUUUAAUAAUGAUUUCCCUUUUUGGACAUGAGCAAAACCCAGACGUUCUUUUUUAUGUGUCUCUAAAACUCCCUUUUAAACUUGAGAGCCUGGUUCAAAGAUGUACCCACUUGGAUCCACUGGGCAAUAAGCUCUGAUUUCCACAGAUUUUAAAUUGCUUUCAGGGUCACUUAAGAUGCUUUUGGAGUAAUUGGAUGGAGGCCGUAGCUGUGCAUCUGGAGUCUGUCUGGUAUUCUCACCCCAUCUCCACUUGAAGUCAGAGUCCCACACAGAGUGCUGCAGCUGUACUGGCAGUUAGGCGAGAUUCAUACUUCUCUUCAGCAGCAUCGCUGUAAAUGAUGGUAAAGGGAAACAUUUAUUUCUUAUAAAACUCUCCACAGAUGUACCUCUCCCUACGCCUUGUGGGUCUGUUUCUAACUCAUAUGCCAGAGCCAGAGCUCAUUAUUGCUUACUAUAAUAUUGUUUUCAACAUAAGAACUCAUUCUCCAUACACACUGCCAGAAUAUUUAUUCUGCUUAUUACACUUAAACAAAGUACAACUAAAAUGAUUUUGCGGAGGGAAAUGGAACAAACCCCUCAAUAAACUAACCCUCAUUUACUAAGAAGCUUAUAAGGAAUGUGAGAUCCAAGGGAGAUAGAACCGAAUCGAUUGUCAGUUUUGAGGAGGCAGAGGAAAAGUUUGCAACAAAACUUGAAUUAAAUUUACUGCUAACCCUUAACCCACAGUCUUAAUCUUUUCUAUUUUCUUUCCUAAAUCAGUGAAAGGCUUUUCCAAAGAUCCAGGAAAAAAAAAGUACAGACAUUAAUGACAUUAGGAUGCUGAGAAUGAAAGGCUUAUGAACAUGAGAGCUCAUCCCAUCUGUGGAGGCAGAACACGUUGGGUUUUGGCCCUGUGUCUUACACUGUUAGAAUGUAUGAAAAAUGAACAAAGUCCAGAAACUGCUGAAAAUGAUCUUUAGCAUUACUUAUGUGAAUCGGGAGAUCAUUAUGUAAGGGAAUAUGUGCUGCCAAUUCUGUAGAUUUUCCAUCUAGAAAAAUCAAAUUUAAAUAGGGACAAGAAAGACAGAGUUGUAGGGAUCUUCUGCUGCCCCAGUGAACAGAAAUUACUGUAAUUUCUCAUUACUUUCCUCCAGAUUAUCCCAGAGGAAAGAAACAAUGCUUUAUAAAAAGCAAAAUGAUGAGGGUGAAAAUAAAUGUAACACAAUAGCACCAUCAUCACCUCAUGUCUAUUCCAUGGGGAACUAAAACCAUGUUUACAAAGUAGUAUAUGCUGUUACUAUUUAGAAUAGUAUUCCUAAAUUUAGAACUAGGAGCCAUUAUAUUGGUGCUGUCCAAUUCAACAUCUUUUCUAUCUUUGCAUUCUCAAAUAAUCAUAAUUUUUUUACCCAGAAACAACUUUAUUUUUCUGAUUAGUUCUGACAUCUUUUCCCUCAUUUCCCAUUAGUGCUAUCAUACUUGCUUUUGUGUGUCCCAUUUGUCUGUUUUGUUUCCAAUCUCACACAAUAAGUCACUUUACUUUCAUUUUAUUCCUACUGUAUCUCCAAUCAAAUAUCCACUAAUUUGUUUUGAGGAUAUCCAUGCCCCUAUUCUCUGAAAUAUUGCUCUUAGCAAAGGAAAAAAAGUAAGAAGGACUAGAAGCUCAACAGAGUGAAAUAGCCUGAGCAUAAAAUCCACAAAAGCUCUAGGUAUAGUUUUGUGUCUCAUUUGCAUAAAAGUAUCUGAAAGAACUGGCAUUUGUUAGCAUGAUCCUUAUCACACUAUUCCCAUAUGACCUUUGAAUGCCAAACUUCCUGUGAAUUGAAUAAACAUGAAUAACAACACAAUAACACCCUUGUAGAAUUUAAAUUCCUGUUCACUUUCAAUGCAAAACUCUUGUCACUCUUGGCUUCAUCCCAAGUCUUGAUCUAGCAAGCCAAGAAUGCAAGGAGAUCAUCAGCAACCCCUGCUUGUACUGCAGACCCUAAAAGGAUGAAAGAAGAAGGGCAAGGAAGGGUAAUGGACCCUUUUUAUGUUUGGCUCCUCCGAGAAUAAAGUACACAUGGAAUCAGUGGCUUAGUUUUAUGGUUUCAACUAAUGACAGAAAUAAACCCAGAGAACACUUGAGGUGAGAAGAGAAAGAAGCUAUAUUUUGCAGAGUUCCCAGAAAAUAUUUAGUGUAGUAUUUAAACAGAAAGCCCACUUUGGGAGUAUAGUCAGCGCUGCCUGUCCAUGGCAGGGAGGUAUUCUCAAGUCAGAGUUGAGAAAUAAUUACCUUAACAGACUGCCUCUCCCCAUUCCACAUGGCUUUGCCUACUACCUCUCAAGGUCAAGAGAGUCUAAUGUCUGCAGCUCUCUGUGGCUUUGCCUAAAAAAUUAGCUCCCAAGAUUCAGACAUUGCAGCUUACUUCUGAAGCCUGCAGUCAGGCGAUGAUGUGAAGUGUAGCUGCUUCUUUUUCCCUUGACCAUCUGAAAAUGGCUUUUUAUUUUCUCUGGUUAUGUUUCUAACACACUGAAUAUCUCUGAGCACCACUUCUGAUAUGUGUGUGUGUGUGUGUGUGUGUGUGUGUUUAAACUACUUAGUUUUAUUUACUCUGCUUUGACAUUGUCACAGGUUAAAAAGAAACGGGAAAGACGGAGACAAAAUAUUAAAAAAUAGAAUUAUCUAAUUCCAAGAAAAUUCCUCUUGAUGUGGCAGGCUCUCCUAUAUAACCACAUUUAAAUUAUCCAGAGGUAGGAACUAAAUGCAAUCUAAUACAGGCUACAUUAAGGGUGAAUGGCCUAUCUUGGGCCACUAAAGAUUUUUCCAUCUUUCUGUCAGGAAGAGGAGUGAGGUUGAAAUUGGAGCCAAGAACUGGGAUAGCUUUUAGGAUAUUCAGUAUCCAGGUCUGCAGUUUUUAAACUUCUAUCAUCAGCAACUCAGCAGCUGUAAAGGGAGCUAUUGAACUUGGACUUGCUCAGAAUGCUGGUGAGGACUUCUGGAGGGGAGUGGGACAAGGUCAAUGAGUAGUGGAAGGCACUGUGAGGUACAACCUGGCAGCAAGAAAUGGAUUGGGGGCCUCUUGAUUUUCAAUUUGAUCUUGAAAAUUCUUUGAGCCUCACCUUCCUUCUUAUCCAAUAUCAUGCUCAUCCUCUUGUGAACCUUAAAAGAGAAAGCAUACAUAAAUGUAGCUGGAUUAGAAUUCCAGCUAGAAUCAGAGUUUAAAAAGCAGAGCAAGUUAAGUGGCUGAUAUUCUUAUCAAUCACUCAGAAACUGGAGAUCUUAGUCAUUUAUUUACCAUUUUUGAUUACAUUUUCUGUGUCAAUCCUAGCUCUAUACAUCUUACAUUCAUGAUCUUAUAUGUUCAUACAUCAACUUAGAAGGCAAUUAUCUCAUGUCUUCAUUUUAUAUAAGAUGAAAAUAACUCAGAGACAGAUGGGAGGCUGGUGGAAGUCUUAUAUAGCUAGUUUACUGGAUAGAAAUGAUUCACCCUCAGGUUUUUGGAACUCAUGUCUGUAUUCUCACCACCCUCAUUCUCCAGUAAUCUAGAGCCCAUCACUGAAAAAUGAAUGGAUGGGGAAAACAAGAAAGGCAGAUGUGAAACAUCUGAAACAAUGAAGGAAUCCCAGUAUCUGAUAUGUUAUUUUUGUAUUGUGAAUCAACCCCAGAUGAGGAGUUCAGUGUGACCAAAUAUCUGAGAAAAGUCUACGUGUAGAGAAAAUGAAAAGCUGCUAAUACUCAGGGUAUCACAUUUUUUGUGUCAAUUAUGAGCCUGGGUUUUGGUGAUGGGAGCUCAAUAUCUUCUACUUACUAGUUAUCUGAUCCUAAAUAACUUGAUUCAGCAAGAGCAAUAAAAUAUAUAAAAUGAAAAUAAUGACAUUACCUACUUUAUAGGAGGCUUAUUAAAUUUGAUAAUAAAAAUAUGUAUAAAAGACUUAUUCCUUUUUUUUUUUUUUUUUUUUUUUUUUUUGUCUUUUUGCCAUUUCUUGGGCUGCUGCCGCGGCAUGUGGAUUUUCUCAGGCUAGGGGUCUAAUCGGAGCUGUGGCUGCCAGCCUACGCCAGAGCCACAGCAACAUGGGAUCCGAGCCACGUCUGCGACCUACACCACAGCUCACAGCAACCCCAGAUCGUUAACCCACUGAGCAAGGGCAGGGAUCGAACCCGCAACCCCAUGGUUCCUAGUCAGAUUUGUUAACCACUGCGCCACAACGGGAACUCCUAAAAUAGCUUUGUUGAGGUGUUAUGAUAUAUCCAGAAAAAUAUGUAAUGUGAGAUCUACCCUCUUAACAAUUUUUAAGUGUACAAUACUGAAGUGUUAACUCUAAGUAUAAAGUUAUAAAACAGAUCUCUAUUACUCAUGCCUUUUGCACAACUGAAAUUUUAUACCCAUUGACCAAGAAGUCCUCAUUUUCCUAUCCCCUAGUCCCUUGCAACUACCAUUCUACGCUCUGUUUCUAUGGGUUUGUCUACUUAAAAUACCUGAUUAAGUGGCCUCAUAUGUAUUUGUCCAUCUGUGACUGACUUAUUUUGUUUAGCAUAAUGUCCUCUAGGUGCUUCCAUGUUGUUGCAUAUACCAGGGGAAAGGACUUGAAUAGAUAUUUCUCCAAAGGAGACAUACACUUUACCAAUAAGUACAUUAAGAGAUGUUCAACAUCACUAAUCAUCAGGGAAAUGCAACUCCAAACCACAAUGAGAUACCACCUCACAUCUGUUAGGUUGGCUCUCCUCAAAAUGCAAGAGAUAAACAAGUGUUAGCAAGGAUGUGGAGAAAUUGGCACCCUUGUAUACCUUUAGUUGGAGUGUAAAAUGGUAUAGCCAGUAGUACAGCAUAUAGGUUCCUUGACAAUUUAUAAGUAGAACUAUCAUAUGAUCCUUGAGUUCCCAUCGUGGCUUAGUGGAUUAAGAAUCUGACUAGUAUCCAUGAGGAUGUUGGUUAAAUCCUUGGUCUCGCUCAGUGGGUUAAGGAUCCAGCGUUGCUGCAAGCUACAGCAGAGGUCGCAGUGUGUCAGGGAUCCAGUGUUGCUGUGGCUGUGGCAUACACCUGCAGCUGC
rnacentral:lncRNA from 1 species